rnacentral:rRNA from 1 species
GACGAACGCUGGCGGCGUGCUUUAUACAUGCAAGUCGAACGAUGAAGUUCCUUCGGGAAUGGAUUAGUGGCGAACGGGCGAGGAACACGUGAGAAACCUGCCUUUCAUUCUGGGAUAACACCGGGAAACCGGUGCUAAUACCGGAUACUCCGUCUUGGCGGCAUCGCCGAGCCGGGAAAAAAUUUUGAUGAAAGAUGGUCUCGCGGCCUAUCAGCUAGUUGGUGAGGUAAUGGCUCACCAAGGCGACGACGGGUAGCCGGCCUGAGAGGGCGACCGGCCACACUGGGACUGAGACACGGCCCAGACUCCUACGGGAGGCAGCAGUAGGGAAUUUUGCACAAUGGACGAAAGUCUGAUGCAGCAACGCUGCGUGAAGGAUGAAGGUUUUCGGAUCGUAAACUUCUUUUAUCAGGGAAUAAUUAUGAAGGUACCUGAUGAAUAAGCACCGGCUAACUACGUGCCAGCCGCCGCGGUAA